GGCCUGCAGCUCAGUGGUAGAGCAUCUGUUUAACUUGCAGAAGGUCCCAGGUUCAAGCCCUAGCAUCUCUAGGUAGGUCU